rnacentral:rRNA from 1 species
UACGAACCGUACGAACGUUAUUCGGAAUCACUGGGCUUAAAGGGUGCGUAGGUGGCGAGGUAAGUUGGAUGUGAAAUCCCGGGGCUCAACCCCGGAACUGCAUUCAAUACUGCCUUGCUAGAGUACUGGAGAGGAGAUUGGAAUUUACGGUGUAGCAGUGAAAUGCGUAGAUAUCGUAAGGAAGACCAGUGGCGAAGGCGGAUCUCUGGACAGUUACUGACACUGAGGCACGAAGGCCAGGGGAGCAAACGGG